CCAAGGCACAGGAAGAAAGCAUUGAGGUCACAGGGCAGCUCAGGUCCGCCUGUGGUAAUUGAAAACAGGUGACGAGAUUGGGUUGAUUUUAUUUUGGAAAAGUAAAUUAGUGCUGCACCACUCGGACAUGGCUAAUUCAUGAAGCCUCUGGUUUGUAUUAGACACCCAACAUGCCUUUCAGAAAGAAAUGACACAACAAUUAAUGUGUCAAAUAAUAAUGUGCCACUCGGAGAAAGAUAAUUGUACCCAUCGUCAGGUAGUUAUUAGGUCGAACGAAUGCUCAUCCUUUCAAAGGCAACAGCGUCUAUUCAUUCUGGCAUCCUACUGUAAGUACAGUAUUGUGUUCAUAAUCACACAGACUGAAGCCAGGAACACUGGGUUUUAUCUGAUUUUUCUCCAUUUGGAAUUGUACUCCGAUGAUUCCCUAAACAGCAAACUCAGUCAUGUGAAACACAAAUGAGUGUGAUGAAAGACAGAUUGUUAUACUGCAGGAGAGGCUUUCUGUGCUUUUCACAUAAUAUAGAGCAUGAGGACUGUUCCCAAGAAGGUUUAAGCAUAUGUAACAAAAACUACCAGACCUGAAUUUGCUCAUGUGUAAAUGAUAGUCUUUCCUUCUGGUGAUUUAAUGCAUGAGGACAUCAAUCAGUCACAUCAUGGCCUCAGAAGUCCUUGUUCAAUUUCUGAUGCCAUAACUUACUCGAUGUGGGAUUUGGACAAGUCAUUUAACUUCACUGCAAUUCUGUUUCCCUCAUUUGAAAAAUAGAAAUAGAAAAGCCUGCUGUAUAUUUAGGUCCACAUCUGUUGGGGAGGUCAAAGAAGAAAGAAUAUGAAAAGUUGUUUGUAAAUAUAAAGAACCAUGUAAAUAUAAGACAUUGUUUUAUUAAUGCUCCAGAUCAAUUAACUUUCAGUGAAUGAUAAAAUGUGACAUCUUUUCAACAGAGACAGUUUUACUUAAGAAAAACUAGGCAAUGGCUUCUGUCCUUACAAAUGAAAAACUUCAUAAUAAAUGGGGGCUCUCAAGACCACCUGGCCAAAACUGAACUAAAUACUCACUUCAUUCAACCAAGAAUGAGGAACUGAAAUACAUGAUUAUUAUAUAUGCAUAUGCUUCUGUUUCAUCUACUUGGGCAUGCUUGUGAUGAGAUAUGAAAAAUUAGCCAUCUUUAGAAGGAAAGAAAUAUUGUAUUUGGGGGUAUUUCUUCUGUACAGACAAUUGGCCUGGUUAUUGUCUAAAGGUAUUUAAAAUUAAUAAAAUGCAAUUUUAUGCUACAUAAAAUACUCAAAGCAACCA
rnacentral:lncRNA from 1 species